UCUGCGUAUUACUGUUGCCGACGACGCAGGAGUACUUUCCGGCCACCAUUUUGAGCCACGCGCCGGACCGUUGGAUUCAGAGGCCUCCGAACUAUCGACUCACGCGGGAAUCUAGAGCUCACUCGCCGAUUAAACGCCUCAACCACUCGAUUUAAGUUCGGCCACCCCGCGACUUCAAAGUUGCGAUUCGGCCACCUCGGGCAUCCGUUUGCCGAUCCGUCACCACCAUCGUGCUCCUCGUGUUGUGGGCUUCAAAACCCAAUAACUUGUUCCUACAUCUACCAUAGUUGGGUGGUGGGCCCACCACGAGCCACCGCGAUCCACCGUAGACCGACGGUCGAAACUUAGUGUUCGAGGUUCCGAAGUACGUUUUGAGUCUCAGAAAAUCAUCGUUUGACUUAUUGUGGAACCUGAUCAUUUUGGAUUUGUAUGGAUUUGAUUGAUUGACUCUUGGUGAGGAAUUUUAAAAUAAGCUAAGGACCUAAGGUGUGGCUUUAGCUGUUGAGCAACUUGUGGAGCACGGACUCAGUAGCAAUGCAAUAAUGGUUUAGAGUUUUCAUAUGGCUGCCUUAAAUUUAAAGUAUUCAUACGUGUAAUAAUUUCUUCUAAUAAGUUUAUAUAAAAGUUUUAAAUUUUUCUGUAUUUCUUCGUAUCAUUUUAUUUAAUUCUUUUGGUCAAGUGCCUUACAUACUCGUAAACCCUAGAAUUACGAGUAUGUGGCAGACGUACCCUACCUUAGGGACGUUACAAAUGGUAUCAGAGCUUUGAGUUUGUAGAUGUCGUAUACUCGUUAUGUUAUUAGAUUUUGGGAUCUGAAAUGCUACUGAGUUCCGCCACAAGACAAGCCACACGUUAAUGGUUAGUAUAAUUUAUCCAUAUUUUAGUUAAUGUAUGUUAAUGAUGUUGUAUAAUUGUAUUAGAAACUCAUUGUGUGUUUGAGUUUCCAUGAUAUAAGUAUGAGUUUGGAUUAAAUGAAUAUUCUCAUGCACGGUAGAGAAAUUGAAGUUUGCUAUUUAUCUGAAUGCAUGCCUUUAUUAUUGAUGUGAUAAAUAAUUGAUGAUUUAUCGAUGUCGAUGUUUGGAUUGUUAAUUGAUAUUCUCAAGCUUUGAAAGUGACCUAUCAGUUCAGUUAGUGUGUUAAGGGUUAAUAUGUUAGGUUAGUGUUUUGGAGAGCAAAGUUUUAGGUUGUUGCUGAGAGCACACACAAUAAGAGACUUUAGUGAAACAGUAGUAAUAUAUAGAUAAAAAAAAAAAAAAAAAAACAUAAUA